GCGAGUGUAGCGGUCGCGCCUCGAACUUGUUCGGGGCGAGGAAAGUCCGAGCUCCACAGGGCAGGGUGGUGGGUAACGCCCACCGGGAGCAAUCCCAGGGAAAGUGCCACAGAAAAGAUACCGCCUGUAUCUUUGGAUGCAGGUAAGGGUGAAAUGGUGAGGUAAGAGCUCACCGCGGGGGCGGUGACGUCCCUGGCAGGGUAAACCCCACCCGGAGAAAGACCAAACAGAGACGAAGGAGUGCCCACUCCGCUCCCGCUUGCGGGAAUAGGUCCGGGUAGGUCGUUAGAGCCCCUUGGCAACAAUGGGCCCAGAGGAAUGACCGCACACCACUUUUGUGGUGAACAGGACUCGGCUUACCGCUCG
rnacentral:RNase_P_RNA from 1 species